rnacentral:rRNA from 1 species
AACGAACGCUGGCGGCAGGCUUAACACAUGCAAGUCGAACGAUGUAGCAAUACAUAGUGGCGCACGGGUGAGUAACGCAUGGGAAUAUACCUUAUAGUGGGGGAUGACUUUGUGAAACUAAAGCUAAUACCUCAUACGCCCGAGAGGGGAAAGAUUUCUCGAUAUAAGAUUAGCCCGCGUGAGAUUAGGUAGUGGGUGGGGUAAUGGACUACCAAGCCUACGAUCGCUAGCUGGUCUGUGAGGAUGAGCACACACACCGGAACGAGAGACACGGUGCAGACUCCUACGGGAGGCAGGAGUGGGGAAUAUUGGGCAAUGGAGUAAACGCUGACCCAGCCAGGCCGCGUGAAUGAUGAAGGCCUUAGGGUUGUAAAGUUCUUUCGCCGAUGAAGAUAAUGACGGUAGUCUGAGAAGAAGCCCCGGCUAACUUCGUGCCAGCCGCCGCCGUAA